rnacentral:rRNA from 1 species
GUCGAGAAUCUUCCGCAAUGCGCGAAAGCGUGACGGAGCGACACCGCGUGAUGGAUGAAGUCCUUCGGGGCGUAAACAUCUUUUAUAAAGGAGGAAAUUUUUGACGUUACUUUAUGAAUAAGGGGCUCCCAAUCUCGUGCCAGCAGGAGCGGUAAUACGAGAGCCUCAAGCGUUAUCCGGAAUCAUUGGGCGUAAAGGGUGCGUAGGUGGUUUGAUUAGUCUCCCAUUAAAACUUCGAGCUUAACUCGAAAAGAGCGGGGGAAACGGUCAAACUAGAGUAUGUGAGAGGUGUGUGGAACUCAUGGUGUAGGGGUGAAAUCCGUUGAUAUCAUGGGGAACACCAAAAGCGAAGGCAGCACACUGGCACAUCACUGACACUGAGGCACGAAACCUAAGGUAGCGAAUGGGAUUAGAAACCCCUGUAGUCC